AGAGUAUAGUUAAAUAGAAAAACAUCUCCCUUACACCGAGAAGGCAUCUGUGCAAAUCAGAUUACCCUGA
rnacentral:tRNA from 1 species